rnacentral:ribozyme from 13 species
UAUAUAGAAAUUAAAAAGAAAAGAGAAAAAAAAACAUGUAAAAUGUUUUUGAGUUGGUUGAAUUC